rnacentral:pre_miRNA from 13 species
GCCAAGCUGAAUGUGUCUCUAGUCAUAGGCCGUUCAGGAUAGGCUACUAUGACUAACGAGCACAUCCAGCGUGGC